rnacentral:rRNA from 1 species
GAAAAGAAACCAACAGGGAUUGCCCCAGUAACGGCGAGUGAAGCGGCAACAGCUCAAAUUUGAAAUCUGGCCCCCAGGGCCCGAGUUGUAAUUUGUAGAGGAUGCUUUUGGCGCGGUGCCUUCCGAGUUCCCUGGAACGGGACGCCAUAGAGGGUGAGAGCCCCGUCUGGUUGGACACCUAGCCUCUGUAAAGCUCCUUCGACGAGUCGAGUAGUUUGGGAAUGCUGCUCUAAAUGGGAGGUAUAUGUCUUCUAAAGCUAAAUACCGGCCAGAGACCGAUAGCGCACAAGUAGAGUGAUCGAAAGAUGAAAAGCACUUUGAAAAGAGGGUUAAAUAGUACGUGAAAUUGUUGAAAGGGAAGCGUUUGUGACCAGACUUGGGCCCGGUUGAUCAUCCACCGUUCUCGGUGGUGCACUCUGCCGGCCCAGGCCAGCAUCAGUUCGCGCCGGGGGAUAAAGGCUUCGGGAAUGUGGCUCCUCCGGGAGUGUUAUAGCCCGUUGUGUAAUACCCUGGUGCGGACUGAGGUUCGCGCUCCGCAAGGAUGCUGGCGUAAUGGUCAUCAGCGACCCGUCUUGAAACACGGACCAAGGAGUCGUCUUCGUAUGCGAGUGUUCGGGUGUCAAACCCCUACGCGUAAUGAAAGUGAACGCAGGUGAGAGCUUCGGCGCAUCAUCGACCGAUCCUGAUGUUCUCGGAUGGAUUUGAGUAAGAGCAUACGGGGCCGGACCCGAAAGAAGGUGAACUAUGCCUGUAUAGGGUGAAGCCAGAGGAAACUCUGGUGGAGGCUCGCAGCGGUUCUGACGUGCAAAUCGAUCGUCAAAUAUGGGCAUGGGGGCGAAAGACUAAUCGAACCUUCUAGUAGCUGGUUUCCGCCGAAGUUUCCCUCAGGAUAGCAGUGUUGAACUCAGUUUUAUGAGGUAAAGCGAAUGAUUAGGGACUCGGGGGCGCUAUUUAGCCUUCAUCCAUUCUCAAACUUUAAAUAUGUAAGAAGCCCUUGUUGCUUAGUUGAACGUGGGCAUUCGAAUGUAUCAACACUAGUGGGCCAUUUUUGGUAAGCAGAACUGGCGAUGCGGGAUGAACCGAACGCGAGGUUAAGGUGCCAGAGUAGACGCUCAUCAGACACCACAAAAGGCGUUAGUACAUCUUGACAGCAGGACGGUGGCCAUGGAAGUCGGAAUCCGCUAAGGACUGUGUAACAACUCACCUGCCGAAUGUACUAGCCCUGAAAAUGGAUGGCGCUCAAGCGUCUCACCCAUACCUCGCCCUCAGGGUAGAAACGAUGCCCUGAGGAGUAGGCGGACGUGGGG